AUUCGAUGCAACGCGAAGAACCUUACCAAAUCUUGACAUACCUAUGACAGGCAAGUAAUGUUGCCCUUCCUUCGGGACAUAGGAUACAGGUGGUGCAUGGUUGUCGUCAGCUCGUGUCGUGAGAUGUUGGGUUAAGUCCCGCAACGAGCGCAACCCUUGUCCUUAGUAGCCAGCAGUAAGAUGGGCACUCUAGGGAGACUGCCAGGGAUAACCUGGAGGAAGGUGGGGAUGACGUCAAAUCAUCAUGCCCCUUAUGAUUUGGGCUACACACGUGCUACAAUGGCGUAAACAAAGAGAAGCGAGCCUGCGAGGGGGAGCAAAUCUCAAAAAUAACGUCUCAGUUCGGAUUGUAGGCUGCAACUCGCCUACAUGAAGCUGGAAUCGCUAGUAAUCGCGAAUCAGAAUGUCGCGGUGAAUACGUUCCCGGGCCUAGUACAC
rnacentral:rRNA from 1 species